rnacentral:SRP_RNA from 13 species
UCCAGGCGCCGUGGCACAUGCCUGCAGUCCCAGCUACUCGGGAGGCUGAGGUGGGAGGAUCGCUUGAGCCCAGGAUUCUGGGCUGUAGCGCCCUAUGCUGAUUGGGCAUCCACACUAAGUUCGGCAUCAAUAUGGUGACCUCCCGGGAGCGGGGGACCACCAGGUUGCCUGAGGAGGGGUGAACUGGCCCAGGUCAGAAAUGGAGCAGGUCAAAACUCCCAUGCUGAUCAGUAGUGGGAUCGUGCCUGUGAAUAGCCACUGCACUCCAGCCUGGGCAACAUAGCGAGACUCUGUCUUUU